UGAGGAAUAUUGCGCAAUGGAGGCAACUCUGACGCAGCCAUGCCGCGUGCAGGAAGAAGGCGCUACGCGUUGUAAACUGCUUUUAACCGGGAAGAAACCCCAGGACGUGUCUUGGGUUGACGGUACCGGAGGAAUAAGCACCGGCUAACUUCGUGCCAGCAGCCGCGGUAAUACGAAGGGUGCAAGCGUUAUCCGGAUUCAUUGGGUUUAAAGGGUGCGUAGGUGGGGCGAUAAGUCAGUGGUGAAAUCCUGCGGCUUAACCGUAGAAUUGCCAUUGAUACUGUCGCUCUUGAGUACGCUUGACGUGGGCGGAAUGUGCCGUGUAGCGGUGAAAUGCUUAGAUAUGGCACAGAACACCGAUAGUGAAGACAGCUCACGAAGGCGAAACUGACACUGAGGCACGAAAGCGUGGGGAUCGAACAGG
rnacentral:rRNA from 1 species